GGGCUCUCUUUGGCAGCACAUACACUAAAAUUGGAAUGAUACAGAGAAGAUUAGCAUGGCCCCUGUGCAUGGAUAACACACAAAUUCAUGAAGUGUGCCAUUUUUCU